rnacentral:lncRNA from 1 species
UGGGGCUACUUUGAUGUUGUUUUUCAUAAAACAUGUGAAUGUGAAUUAAGUAGAAAUUCACGAAUAACAUGAAACUGGUCUCAUUUGUUAAGAUAUUUCAAACAAUAAAUUUAUUGAAUAAAUUGUUAGGGUUACAUUUUUACUCUUUUUUUUUAAAACAUUGCACAUUAAAGCAACUAAAUAUGUUGUUUUUACUUUCUAUAAAUUUAUCAACUUUCCA